rnacentral:rRNA from 1 species
UACGGAGGAUGCAAGCGUUAUCCGGAAUGAUUGGGCGUAAAGCGUCCGCAGGUGGCUGUGUAAGUCUGCUGUUAAAGAGUCUAGCUCAACUAGAUACAAGCAGUGGAAACUACACGGCUAGAGUACGUUCGGGGCAGAGGGAAUUCCUGGUGUAGCGGUGAAAUGCGUAGAUAUCGGGAGGAACACCAGUGGCGAAGGCGACUACCUGGCCUGUUCUUGACGCUGAGGCGCGAAAGCUAGGGGAGCAAACAGG